rnacentral:tRNA from 1 species
GGGAAGCUAAUCUAACAUAAGACCUCUGAUUUCGGCUCAGAAAAUUGUGGUUUAAACCCACAGCUCCCCU